ensembl:lncRNA
UGUAUGGAGUUCAACACUGUCCUCUCAGAAACUGCAUUACUGGAUCCUAGUUUUAAAAAGCUUGUAUUCAGUGACAACAGAGCUGUUGAUGGGGCACUUCAGAGAAUAACUGCCACAGCAGCAAAAUGCACCACCCAGCUCCAGCAUUAGAGGGCCAAGUGGGGGAGGAGCCACAAAUUCCUGCUGUGUGGAGGCUCUUUGAUGAAAGAGCUACAGGAGAUGCUACAAAGAGAAAUACUACAGCUGAUGUUAUAAUGGAGAUGCGAUCUUGAGUACUCCUUCAUCCAACGUGGAGAAGACCUGCUGAGCUGGUGGCAGGCCAAGGCCACAGUCUUUCCACACCUGGUGAAGGUGAUAGAGGGAUGACUGUGAAUAGUGGCAACAUCUGUUCCUCCGGAGAGAGUCUUCUCAAAAAAAGGGCAGAUACUAACUGUCAUGGUCUGGGUGAGUGCUGGAUUUUUCCAUUGUGCUGGUGAGUCCACCUCUGGGUGGAGUGAGUAAUGUGAGUAAUUUGGCUGCCAGCUUUUAAGACCAGACUAACAAUGGCUAGCAGAUGAUCUGGCUAGGAGUGAUUGUGAGUGCUCUGCCAUCGUAGUUGAAGUUAACAUAUCAUAGUAUUGCUCGUACUCACCUGUUUACCCUCUCUGCUCACAGUAAUUCUCCGGACACCAUUCUCCAUCCUGCCAUAACUAACCUCUGUUCAGUUGCUGGUCUGUUCAGCAGCUUCACCGCUUUACUCACUUGCCUUCCUCCCUGCCCUGCUUCCUGGAAACACUUGAAUCUCUGCUCUGGACAAAUAUCACUCACGGCUCACCCAGACCACUUACCCUUCCACGCUUUGCCUCUGCCUGCGAAAAUGACUCCGAGAAUCCUGGCACCAUUCCCCUGUCUAGCCUCCCCCUUUAGUCCCACACCACAGGGUUCCUGUACUGGCUGUUACCCAGUAUUGGGUUCUCUAGCUCCUGCUCACGCCAGCCUAAGGGCUUGUUCUCUGGACUCUCUCAUAGCAUGCCGUGUGUUCACAGCUCAUAGUUCAUAGUUGUUUGUUUUUAUGAUAACAUUCAUGAUACUGUUCUAGUUAAUUGUACAUCAUAGUAUUGUUCUAGUUGGCUUUAUUGACUUUUAUUCAUAGUUCAUAUAACUCGCCAAGCUCCUGAGUGCAUAGUGUUGGGAAACAUUCUGUUGCACAUUUUCACUCCUUGUAAAUAAAGUCUUGCUC